UGGGGAAUAUUGGGCAAUGGGCGAAAGCCUGACCCAGCCACGCCGCGUGAGUGAUGAAGGCCUUCGGGUCGUAAAGCUCUGUGGGGAGGGACGAAUAAGUCCGGUGCUAAUAUCACCGGGCCCUGACGGUACCUCCUUAGCAAGCACCGGCUAACCAUGUGCCAGCAGCCGCGGUAAUACAUGGGGUGCAAACGUUGCUCGGAAUUAUUGGGCGUAAAGCGCACGUAGGCGGUCCGUUAAGUCGGAUGUGAAAUCCCUCGGCUCAACCGAGGAAGUGCAUCCGAAACUGGCGGGCUUGAGUACGAAAGAGGGUCGCGGAAUUCCCGGUGUAGAGGUGAAAUUCGUAGAUAUCGGGAGGAACACCGGUGGCGAAGGCGGCGACCUGGGUCGAUACUGACGCUGAGGUGCGAAAGCGUGGGGAGCAAACAG
rnacentral:rRNA from 1 species